CGCCGGAACUAUUCACCCGCCCCGCGCCAUGACACCUACUGAGGCGGAAGUGCAGAUGAAUGGACUCUCUAGGACGACCGCAUAGUACUGAUCGCAGUGGGAGUGGGUGGGCCUCGAGUGGGUGGGCCUCCGUGGGGAGCCAGCGUGGAUCGAGUGCGGGGGCUGGGCUUCCCGCCCCCUCCGCACCGUAGACUCCGCGGUGAUUUAAAGGUGCCUGGCAGUGGUAGGGGAUCCAACUGUAAAAUGUCAUCCCAGCUAGUGUGACAUCACCACAGUCUAGUGUGACACCCCCAGAGCCUGGGCAGGAAGACAGUGCCUAACAGAGGAGCUCCACUGCCGGUGAGGGAUUACCUCAGAAACUUCCUUCUACUACUUAAAGAACUUAAAGUCCUCACAUUGGGCCGACCUGGGAAAUAUGAAGACAAAAAGAGUGGGUAAACGUGCCUGCUUGAUGAGCCAGAAAAAAAGGCAGAAACCUGUGGUCUGGGUAUAACAGAUCCUGCUCAAAAUGUAAGCUUCAAACACACUGUUUAUCAUGCCUUCGUUCAACCUAACUCUCUGACAUGUUCCUAAACUCCUGCUCUCUCAAGGCAUGUCCCUUUCCUCUUUUCAAAUAAAUCUCAGAAUUCACCUCUC